rnacentral:rRNA from 1 species
UACGUAGGGUGCGAGCGUUUAAUCGGAAUUACUGGGCGUAAAGCGUGCGCAGGCGGCGCGUUAAGACAGGUGUGAAAGCCCCGAGCUUAACUUGGGAAUUGCGCUUGUGACUGGCGUGCUGGAGUGUGGCAGAGGGAGGUGGAAUUCCACGUGUAGCAGUGAAAUGCGUAGAGAUGUGGAGGAACACCGAUGGCGAAGGCAGCCCCCUGGGUUAACACUGACGCUCAGGCACGAAAGCGUGGGGAGCAAACAGG